GUGGGGAAACAGCGAGGGCAUGAGGAUUGUGAAAUAAGUGCAAAGGCUCUGAAUGCAGGGCUUGCUUUCUAGUUGGAACAUUUUGGCGAUCUCUCUCUCUCUCUCUCUCUCUGAGAUGGAGGUGGUUGUUGGGGGAAAUUUGAUGUCUGAUGUUCAGUUGGGCCCCAAAGAGAAGAUGGUGCGGGAGGAGCCUGAGUGAACCAAGGUCAUGAAUGGGAAGCCAUAUAGCCUUUACUUUACAGGAAGGGAAACGUAGAGAGAUGGUCUUUAAAAACGACUGGGAUUCUGGGGGUGAGUGGAAGCAAAUCAGAAAACCCAGCUGCUGCAGCUGAGUUGGAGAGGUUGAACUUCAUGCGUGUUGGGCUUCCCUGCCCUGUUCCCGAUGAUUUUCUCCAAAUCCAGCCCCGCUGACAGAGCACCCAGUAGAAGUCUUCCCGGACCUCGCAGUCAGAUCCUUCUCAUCCUCAUGGGACGUGUGUCCUCCGGUGACUCGCAUCUUUGGGUUGCCUGGUGAUAGCUGGAUGUUUAUCUUUCUCCCUUCAAACGGAAGCCCCUUGAGGGCAAUGACUUCCUGCCCCUUCCUUCAUGCCUAUUCGGUGCCAAAGGAUGUUUCCUUGGAAAACAUGAGUAAAUGAAGGAAUGAGUGAAA